UACAGGGGGGGCAAGCGUUGUUCGGAAUUACUGGGCGUAAAGGGCGCGUAGGCGGUCAGCACAAGUCAGUUGUGAAAUCUCCGGGCUUAACUCGGAAAGGUCAACUGAUACUGUGCGACUAGAGUGCAGAAGGGGCAACUGGAAUUCUCGGUGUAGCGGUGAAAUGCGUAGAUAUCGAGAGGAACACCUGCGGCGAAGGCGGGUUGCUGGGCUGACACUGACGCUGAUGCGCGAAAGCCAGGGGAGCGAACGGG
rnacentral:rRNA from 1 species